rfam:Beta vulgaris subsp. vulgaris chromosome 8, whole genome shotgun sequence.
GGAGUUGUGGUGUAGUUGGUUAUCACGUCAGUCUUACACACUGAAGGUCUCCGGUUCGAACCCGGGCAACGCCA